GGUCACGAAGAGUCGGACACGACUAAAUGACUAAACAACAACAAAGCAUUGUGUGACAAUGGCACACUCUUCUCACUGCCAGAACUUUUGGAAAUGUGACAUGAGACCACCAUCUCAGUGACAGUUCAGCAACCAACUCUGUACUAAAACUGUCCACGCAUUAAUGGAGCUGUCUGAAAAUCAACUCACCUGCCACUUGAAGUGAAUGACCAUAGUCUCAUAUCAACUGAAUGAAAAGAAAUCAAAUGCCGGUUUUUCUAAUAGUAGACACAUACAUGCUGCUUCCUUCCAGGGGUCAAUUUUCCAGCAUGUCAAGUAAAUACCUUAUUUUAAAAUUAUAUCCUGCAGGCGGUAAUGCGAUGCCUGACUAUGUUAUCCUAAUUAAAUGGCUCGCAGCACUCCCUGUAAACUUCAAACCAGGGCUUUGCUUCUGUUCUGAAAUGAAUACCACCACCCGUCGGAUUCUUCUGUUCAGACGCCUGUUGCAGAUGGCGCAGGCAUAAUAAAACACUUGUCUCGGCAGUUAUGCGAAGUCUACAAAAAGUUUCCCAGACAGAAGUUCCUUUGCGACAUGAUGUCAAACUCAGAGCUGGCCCUACCAUUAGACAGAAUGAGGCAACUGCUUCAGGUGGCAGAUAGCUGGGGGCCAGUGGGGAGGUGCUGGACGGCAGAGCUGCCUUAAGCUAUGUGGGCUGCCUUAAGAUAACCUGCUCUCUUCAGGUGCAGUGGGGGGUGAUGGGCCUUAUUUACAGUGUUGAAGUAAGAUGCAACAGCCAGCCCAGUCAGACUUUGUACAUGGAAUGGGGAAAGGUAGCAUUUUAUAAUUCACUUCAGACAGCAAAAUAUUAUGGGCCGGUCUUGUUCCCACUGCAGGUGCUUGAUGCAAGAGUUACCGUGACACAGUACCCCUAAUCUGCCAUCUAGGCCAAACCUUCUGGUCC